rnacentral:lncRNA from 1 species
AAAAAUGUUGAAGGAAGGAAAGAUGGGGGGGGGGGGUAUAUUUAUAGAAAUAGGGACGCAGGAAAGCGUGAGGAUAUGAGUUAAAAAGCGGUUCAGAACGACUGGUCGGAAGGUAACUUAAACUAAGAACACUGUUGUUAUGCGUAAUGGAGUCCACGCGGUAUACGAAUCAAACUGUAGCGUCCUUUGUUUCUUUUGUAUUUUAAUGAGUUUUUGGUUGAGAAGCUGAUAGUGACCGGUAAGCAAAGAAAGGAGAUGAUCUCCUUUUCUUUCCAUACAAGAAAUUACCAUGAGUUCAAUCGGCUUAUAGAGUCCUACAUCUCGAAACUGUGAAAAGUAUUUGGCAUUAUCGUUUCCCAAUGUAGGGCAGCCUCUCUUUUUGUUUUGUCAAUUUCAAGCCACCAAUUUCGGAAUUUUUUCAAUUAACAUAACCCACCUUUAAUUAUUG